rnacentral:rRNA from 1 species
UACAGAGGGGGCAAGCGUUGUUCGGAAUUACUGGGCGUAAAGGGCUCGUAGGCGGCCCAACUAAGUCAGACGUGAAAAUCCCCUCGGCUUAACCGGGGAACUGCGUCUGAUACUGGAUGGCUUGAGUUUGGGAGAGGGAUGCGGAAUUCCAGGUGUAGCGGUGAAAUGCGUAGAUAUCUGGAGGAACACCGGUGGCGAAGGCGGCAUCCUGGACCAACACUGACGCUGAGUGAGCGAAAGCCAGGGGAGCAAACGGG